GUCAAGUAAGAAUACCCGCUGAACUUAAGCAUAUCAAUAAGCGGAGGAAAAGAAACUAACAAGGAUUCCCUUAGUAACGGCGAGUGAAGCGGGAAGAGCUCAAAUUUUAAAUCUCCGAGGUUUUCCUUGGCGAGUUGUAAUUUGAAGAGAGUGUUUUGACGUUCGGGUUCAAUCCAAAUCCUUUGGGAUAAGGUAUCAUAGAGGGUGAGAAUCCCGUUUAUGAUUGAAUCUCGGGUGUCGCUUAAUUCACUUUCCAAGAGUCGAGUUGUUUGGGAUUGCAGCUCAAAACGGGUGGUAAAUUUCACCUAAGGCUAAAUAUGUGCAAGAGACCGAUAGCGAACAAGUACCGUGAGGGAAAGAUGAAAAGAACUUUGAAAAGAGAGUUAAACAGUACGUGAAAUUGUUGAAAGGGAAACGAUUGAAGUCAGUCAUACCAACGGGAAAUCAACCUUUUGAGCUUGGUCUCGUGGGUUUUGAAGAGUUUCAAAGCCUUCGGAUUCGCGGGAUUGGGAUCUCUCGGUGUACUUUUUCGUACGGUUAGUCAACAUCGGUUUUAAAUGUCAUAAAAUGACUGGAGGAAUGUAGCUUCGAUCUCGUAUUGAAGUGUUAUAGCCUUUGGUAGAUGUGACGUUUGAGACCGAGGAUUGCAACGGAUACCCUUCAGGGCUAUUCGUCUGAUCUCUGAUACGUUGCCUUGAUGUUGAAAGCUUGCUUAUGAUGUUAGGGUAUUACGGUCAAAAGGUUAGAACGAAUUACGUUCGUUAAGGAUGUUGACGUAAUGACUUUAAACGACCCGUCUUGAAACACGGACCAAGGAGUCUAACAUGUGUGCGAGUGUU
rnacentral:rRNA from 1 species